UACAAGAUAUACACAACAGUUGUGUCGUGUGCCCAGGUGCAUGUUUGUGUAUAUCUAAUUAAAGUCUAUUGUUUGUCCAACUUAAGAAAACCACUGGAACUAACACAGAAUAUACAAGAUAUACACAACAGGUGUGUCGUGUGCCCAGGUGCACGUCAGGGUUUCUAAAGGCGUUGAAUCUUAGUAUGUACGAGUAUACGAUAAGUCUAGUGAAUAAAAGUUAAGUUACAUUUG
rnacentral:sRNA from 1 species